GCCGAAGUGGCGGAACUGGCAGACGCGCCGGUCUCAAAAACCGGUGGCCGCAAGGCCGUGCGGGUUCGAUUCCCGCCUUCGGCA
rnacentral:tRNA from 1 species